rnacentral:rRNA from 1 species
UACGUAGGGUGCAAGCGUUGUCCGGAAUUAUUGGGCGUAAAGAGCUCGUAGGCGGUCUGUCGCGUCGGCUGUGAAAUCCCGAGGCUCAACCUCGGGUCUGCAGUCGAUACGGGCAAACUAGAGUAUUGCAGGGGAGACUGGAAUUCCUGGUGUAGCGGUGAAAUGCGCAGAUAUCGGAAGGAACAUCAGUGGCGAAAGCGACUUCCUGGACCAGUACCGACGUUCAGGCACGAAAGCGUGGGGAGCAAACAGG